UACGAAGGGGGGCUAGCGUUGCUCGGAAUCACUGGGCGUAAAGGGUGCGUAGGCGGGUCUUUAAGUCAGGGGUGAAAUCCUGGAGCUCAACUCCAGAACUGCCUUUGAUACUGAGGAUCUUGAGUUCGGGAGAGGUGAGUGGAACUGCGAGUGUAGAGGUGAAAUUCGUAGAUAUUCGCAAGAACACCAGUGGCGAAGGCGGACUCACUGGCCCGAUACUGACGCUGAGGCACGAAAGCGUGGG
rnacentral:rRNA from 1 species